AGCGAACGCUGGCGGCAGGCCUAACACAUGCAAGUCGAACGAACUCUUCGGAGUUAGUGGCGGACGGGUGAGUACCACGUGGGAACGUGCCUUUUGGUUCGGAAUAACUCAGGGAAACUUGUGCUAAUACCGCAUGUGCCCUUCGGGGGAAAGAUUUAUCGCCAUUAGAGCGGCCCGCGUCUGAUUAGCUAGUUGGUGAGGUAACGGCUCACCAAGGCGACGAUCAGUAGCUGGUAUGAGAGGAUGACCAGCCACAAUGGGACUGCGGCACGGCCCAGACUCGUACGGGAGGCAGCAGUAGGGAAUCUUGCGCAAUGGGCGAAAGCCUGACGCAGCCAUGCCGCGUGAAUGAUGAAGGUCUUAGGAUUGUAAAAUUCUUUCACCGGGGACGAUAAUGACGGUACCCGGAGAAGAAGCCCCGGCUAACUUCGUG
rnacentral:rRNA from 1 species